UACAGAGGUCCCGAGCGUUGUUCGGAUUUAUUGGGCGUAAAGGGUGCGUAGGCGGCGGAGUAAGUUGGGUGUGAAAUCCCGGGGCUCAACCUCGGAAUGGCAUUCAAUACUGCUUCGCUAGAGUACUGGAGAGGAGGCUGGAAUUUACGGUGUAGCAGUGAAAUGCGCAGAUAUCGGGAAGAACACCCGUGGCGAAGGCGGCUCUCUGGGACGGUACUGACGCUGGGACGCGAAAGCGUGGGGAGCGAACAGG
rnacentral:rRNA from 1 species